rnacentral:lncRNA from 13 species
AUGAGAAAACUGAGACACAGAAAGGUAACACAAGAUUAUCCAGGUCCACACAGAGAGCAGUGGAGCCGACACCUGACCCCGGGCAGGUGGGGCCUUCAUGACCACACCACACCGCCACAGGGAAGACAGGGGGGCUAACAGGACAAAAAUGACAUUUGCCAGAGUUUCUUGCUGCUUGGAUCUGACUGCAAUUUCAGUUUUGCCAUCAAGAGGUACUUCCAUGAGCUCUGGACAGUGGCAGAGAGGAAGAGGUGCUCUUCUGCAGUGCGUUGGAUGGUCUGCAGGCUCCUGCCAAUGUGAGGAUUUGCAGCAACUGGUAUAUCCAUGGUCUUGCCACCAGCUUCCUGAAUGUGGGGCAGCUGGAGCUGCAUUAGUGGUCCUUGUAGGGGCAGCUGCUGUCUCCUGGUCUCAGGCUCAUAGCUGUGGGGAUGUGGCCUUAAGCCAAAGCCAAGCAGUGGUCCUGACCUUCAUUUGCCUAGGCCUUCUGAUUACUCUGUAAGUCUCUAUUUCCCUUAUUAAAUCUCUUUCUGCUGGAUACUUUGGGUGUUUCUACUUUGUAUACAGAAUACUGAUUGAUAUAUAGGACACAGCUGGGCCAGGUGAAAGCUGGGCUAAACAAAGGAGGGGUCAGCCUGGGCCUGAUUCAGAGGCCAAGGAAGAUGCUGACCCUGGUGUCUGUGAUGAGGAUGUGAUGUGGUUGAGAAAAAUCGCGAGCUUCAGGGUCAGAGGCUCUCAGGGUGAGCAGGGACAGACCAUCAGCCGGGCUUCAGUGACCUGCUGUGGACGCUGGAGGGGAGCAUUGCAGAAAUCCCAACAGGUCCUUUCAAAGGUGGCCUAGAACUGCCCUCAUUCAGAAACCAAGGGCUGCUCUCCUGUGGAGAGCUGAAGAAGACGGGCAAACAAAUCCAGCCACAGCUCACCCAGAGCCUGGGGUCCGGCUGGGUCUGGGUGACCAAUGUGGGGCCAAUUCUAGUACAUCCAGAGGAGGACAGGUGAGCAGCCCCCUCAAGGAGGCAGGCUGGAAAAGUGCAGAGUGUCAAGAAUUUCCUGGGGAAAGUGCUCAGGCUGCCUCGGCCCUGUGGUGCGCAUCUGCCAGCCCCCAGAGCAGUUCACCCUUUCAAGAGGAGAUGCUGCAGCAACCAGAGGGGCUCCGAGGUGCCUGCCCAGCUGGGCCCUGCACCCAAGAGAAAGGAGAGGCUGAGGCUACUGCAAAGGUACCAAGUUCCCGCCGGACUUACAUCUGAGCACCACACAUUCCCCCUACAGAAAGAUUAAAAGAGACUGUCUGCAGCUGAAUGACUAGGAGUAAUGGAAUUAGGCGUGAUCUGUGCGGUACCUGGCUCUCAGCUCCUGGCUGCAUUUGAUUGGCAGAGACAUCAUUUGCUGAGUGUUGCUGCCUGCCCAGUGACAUACAGGUACCAUCCCGUUUAAUCCUAAGAGGAAUAAUCAUCAUCCCUAUUGGGACAAGUCCUAGUGGGUAUGAUAAAUUAUAUCGUUUG